ACUUAAGUAGUUUAAUUAAAAUUUUGACUUGUGGUGUCAAAGAUAUAAGUUAAUUCUUAUCUUAGGUU
rnacentral:tRNA from 2 species